CUACGGAGGGCGCGAACGUUGCUCGGAAUCAUUGGGCGUAAAGCGCACGUAGGCGGCCUGAUAAGUCGGAUGUGAAAGCCCUCGGCUCAACCGAGGAAGUGCAUUCGAAACUGUCAGGCUUGAGUAUGGGAGAGGGUUGCGGAAUUCCCGGUGUAGAGGUGAAAUUCGUAGAUAUCGGGAGGAACACCAGCGGCGAAGGCGGCAGCCUGGACCAAUACUGACGCUGAGGUGCGAAAGCGUGGGGAGCAAACAGGAUUAGAAACCCCAGUAGUCC
rnacentral:rRNA from 1 species